CAGGCUUCUGGGCUUUCUGUGUUCGCCACAUUAACACCCCAACAAAGGGCUGUGGCAUCAUCGCUAAGGCAGGAAAUGAGGGGACCCAAGUGAGAUGGAUAUCACAAGUGAGACAGAGUCGACAAACAGCAGGAGCCGCCUGCCUGGCAGCAGUGAGCCUGUUAAUACCGUCGUCGCUCUAACUGGAGAGAAUCCAUGCUCCAGACUUUUCAUAGAGUAUUCAGACCACAAACAGAGGAAUCCCUCCAACUGCCCGUAUCUUAAACCCUCCCUUAAAGGACCUUCACACUGAGCUUCUCGAAAAUAACCUCAAGUCUGGAUUGUAUGCUCUCACUGAGCUCAGUUUCGACAUAAAAACCGCAGCUUUCACCUUAAAGGGAAUAAAAGAUAGCUUAUUCUGGAGCCGUUUUGAGUGACCAAUG